rnacentral:rRNA from 1 species
AGAGUUUGAUCAUGGCUCAGGAUUAACGCUAGCGGCAGGCUAAUACAUGCAAGUCGAACGGUAACAGGGUAGCAAUACCGCUGACGAGUGGCGCACGGGUGCGUAACGCGUAUGCAAUCUACCUUUAACAGGGGAAUAGCUCAGAGAAAUCUGAAUUAAUACCGCAUAAUAUAGUGAGUGGGCAUCCACUUACUAUCAAACCUUCGGGGGUUAAAGAUGAGCAUGCGUAUCAUUAGCUAGUUGGUGAGGUAAAAGCUCACCAAGGCUACGAUGAUUAGGGGGUCUGAGAGGAUGAUCCCCCACACUGGUACUGAGACACGGACCAGACUCCUACGGGAGGCAGCAGUAAGGAAUAUUGGUCAAUGGACGAAAGUCUGAACCAGCCAUGCCGCGUGCAGGAUUAAGGCCCUAUGGGUCGUAAACUGCUUUUAUACGGGACAAAACCCCUCUACGUGUAGAGGGUUGAUGGUACUGUAAGAAUAAGGAUCGGCUAACUUCGUGCCAGCAGCCGCGGUAAUACGAAGGAUUCGAGCGUUAUCCGGAUUUAUUGGGUUUAAAGGGUGCGUAGGCGGACCGAUAAGUCAGUGGUGAAAGCCUGUUGCUUAACAACAGAACUGCCAUUGAUACUGCCGGUCUUGAGUACAGUUGAGGUAGGCGGAAUGUGUCAUGUAGUGGUGAAAUACUUAGAUAUGACACAGAACACCGAUUGCGAAGGCAGCUUGCUAAACUGUAACUGACGCUGAGGCACGAAAGCAUGGGGAGCAAACAGGAUUAGAUACCCUGGUAGUCCAUGCCCUAAACGAUGAUUACUUGAUGUGUGCGAUACACAGUACGCGUCUAAGCGAAAGCAUUAAGUAAUCCACCUGGGAAGUACGACCGCAAGGUUGAAACUCAAAGGAAUUGACGG